rnacentral:rRNA from 1 species
GACGAACGCUGGCGGCGUGCUUAACACAUGCAAGUCGAACGAUGAAGCCGGAGCUUGCUCUGGUGAAUUAGUGGCGAACGGGUGAGUAACACGUGAGUAACCUGCCCUUGACUCUGGGAUAACUGCGGGAAACUGUAGCUAAUACCGGAUACGACCCUCGGAGGCAUCUCCUGGGGGUGGAAAGAAUUUCGGUCAAGGAUGGACUCGCGGCCUAUCAGCUAGUUGGUGAGGUAAAGGCUCACCAAGGCGACGACGGGUAGCCGGCCUGAGAGGGUGACCGGCCACACUGGGACUGAGACACGGCCCAGACUCCUACGGGAGGCAGCAGUGGGGAAUAUUGCGCAAUGGGCGAAAGCCUGACGCAGCAACGCCGCGUGCGGGAUGACGGCCUUCGGGUUGUAAACCGCUUUCAGCAGGGAAGAAGCCGCAAGGUGACGGUACCUGCAGAAGAAGCCCCGGCUAACUUCGUGCCAGCCGCCGCCGUAA